rnacentral:rRNA from 1 species
GAGGUGACAGAAAAAUUACCCCAGGGAUAACAGGCUCGUCGCGGGCGAGAGCUCCUAUCGACCCCGCGGUUUGGUACCUCGAUGUCGGCUUUUCCUAUCCUGGUCCUGCAGCAGGGGCCAAGGGUGAGGCUGCUCGCCUAUUAAAAGGGAACAUGAGCUGGGUUUAGACCGUCGUGAGACAGGUCGGUCUCUGCCUGAUGGAAGCGCGAAUAACUGAGGGGAAGUUGCUCCGAGUACGAGAGGAACAGAGCAGCGUGGCCACUGGUUUACCGGUUGUCUGAUAAGGCAGGCCGGGCAGCUAAGCCGUUUAGGCUAAGUGCUGAAAGCAUCUAAGCACGAAUCCUAUCCCGAGACAAGUUAUUCUUUCGUAAGAUGAAGGUCGGCAGCAAAAUACUGCGUUGAUAGGAAGGUGGUGUAGAUCACAAGCUUCGGCGAGUGGUGAGCCAGCCUUUACUAAUAGACCAACACAUCGGUUCA